GCGCUCGUAGCUCAGCUGGAUAGAGUACCUGGCUACGAACCAGGUGGUCGGAGGUUCGAAUCCUCCCGGGCGCACCA
rnacentral:tRNA from 1 species